ACCACUCAUUAUAAAAUCAUUGGAUAUAAUUCUUGUUUAAAGCAUGAUCACUAGUAUGAUUUAAUAGUGGAAGAAAUGAAAAUAAUAAAUAGUAAGAUGAUUGAAAUAAUGUAUCUUAUCAAGUUGCAACCACAGGGUAAGUUGGAGUGGUCCUAGAGGAGCUGAGUUAUUAGGUCCAUUUCCAGACCUGCUUAAAUUAGAGGAAAGUUGGGUCAUAAGGAAGGAGAGGAAAGAAUCGAGAAUGAAAAAUGAGAAAAGACUGUAGGCAACAAUAACAACAGAAAAGGAAAAAAUAAGCAUGUGCACAUUGAUCGUGGCAUGAUAAUACAUUCCCUGGAAGAGAUUAUGACUUCUAAUACAACUACAAAUUUGGGGAUAAGAUAGGGAGAAUUUUAAAUAGGUAAAUUAAAUGGCCAGGUACAUGUUGCAUGCCUAUAUUCCCAGUGGCUCUGGAGGCUGAAGACAGAGAAUUUUGAGUUCCAACCCAGCUCAGUAACUGAAUGAGGCCCUCAGAAAUUCAGAAAGAUCCUGUCUCUAAAUAAAAAAGGGAUGGGGAUGUUGUUCAGUAGUUAGACAUCCAUGGGUUCAAUACCCAGUACCAAUAACAAAAUAACAAAGCAAAAAGAAACAUCAAAUAGACAAGUUAAGUUAGAGGAAUUGGUAAAAGAUUAAGCAUGCCUAAGAACUCUCAAAUUUUAGUGAAUCAUAUGUUGGGGACCAUGUACAAAAUAUAUGUUCUGACUCAGCAGGUCUUUGGUUUUACAUCCUGAAUACAUUCAAAAAUGCUUUCAAUGCUCCUUGAUCCACAGACCACAUUCUAACUUGCAAGAGCAGUUGAAUGAACUACCCUUUAGAAAAUCUAAAUUAAGAGCCAUUGUGUCUUAGUUCAUGGCAUAACCAUAUUAAAGCAUAAAUCUUGCUUUGUUUUUUAUUAUGUCUGUUGGCAAAGGGGAAGAACAAAUAGAUGGAUACAUAGAAAUUGUAUUUUUUAAAGAAGUUUUUAGCUGUAAAUGGAAAAAAUGCCUUUAUAUUAUUUAUUUUAUGUGUUGCUGAGGAUCAAACCCAGGACUUCACAUGUGUAAGACAAGCACCCUACCACUGAGCCAAAAUCCAUAUCCAAGAAAUUGUAUUUUUAAGAUACAGUUACUGAAUUAGGAAGAAAAAGUAGUGGGAAAAGUCUAAACAACAAAUGUAAAAAAAAAAAAAAAAAGAGAAUCAAGACCACAGAUCUAGAGAUAGGUUUUAAAAAGCAAAGGGAGAGGUAGUGAGGAGAGAAUAAAAUUAGCUUUGUAAUUUUUAAGAUAAUAAUAAGAACACUCAUAGAAUGCAUUUCAGCUGGUUUCAGUAUAUUUGCCUUCAAACCAAAGUGAGAAUUACUGAUCCAGAGAUGGUUUUAAGCAGGGAAAACUGUUGGAAUUGGGGAAACCAGCCACUAUUAACUUCUUUGCUCCAUAACUAAUAAGCAUAGGGAAGUAUUUAUAUCAGUAGUUGAGAAAUCAUUAGGAUACUUAAUAAGCUUAUUUUUAACUUUUUAAAGAAACUAAUGAACUGUCUUCCUGAAUGAUGACACCAUUCACACAAAUGAUAUAUGAAGAUGCUAGUCUCUCCAUAUUCUUGCUAAUGCUUGAUGUUUUCUACCUUUUUUAUUGUAGCAGUCACAUGGGCAUAUAGAGUCAUCUUGUUGGGUGUGGUUUUCUAUGUCUUCCACCCCACCACCUAAUCAACACUAUUAGUCAGGAUAGGCUAGGUUAUGCUGUGGUAACCAGCAACCUCCAAGCCUCGGUGACUUCAAACCACUACAUGUUGCAUGGCUAGUGAUGACUACAAAUGGUGAGGAGAAGGAGUGCUCAUCAAUAGCACUGAGGGACCUAGGCUGAUGGAAAGUUCUGGAGGGGGGAAAAGGCAGACUGCUGUGGUUUUAACAUCAUUGCCAAUGCUCAUGGUAAAAUUUAAUUUUCUUUGUAACAGAGAUUGCACUUUUGAGAGGUGGGAUCUUUAAGAGAUGAUUAGGACAAAAUGGCACCACCCUUGCCAAUGAAUUAAGCCUUUUAUUGCAGGAUUGAGUUUGUUAUUAGUGGACUCUUGGUGAAAGGAUGAGUUUGGUCUGCUUUCUCUACUUGCCUUUCUUCCAUGUUACAAUGCAGCACAAAGGCUCUGGCCAGACACUGAUGCCAUUCUCUUCAUAGUCUCGAGGACUGUGAGAAAUUUUUUUUCUUCUUAUAAUUUACCUAGCAUGUAAUAUUCUGUUAUAGCAAUUAAACAUGGGCUAAGACACAGACCACACCAGUUCUAAAAGCUUCCGCCUGACAGUGACAAAGUCACUUUUAUUCCUAUUUCACUAGCUGGCAUUUCACACGGUUACCAUUAACUUCAAAAGCAGUUAAAUAGGUCAUAUGAAAAAAGAAAAUUACUUUGGAAAAACAUAAUAAUGUGAAAACUUAUAUAGAUAUAUUUUAAUGUCAGUUCAGAGUAGUAGGCUUUUAAGUAUUAGGCUUUCACUGUUUUAAGUGUGUAUUAUUAGGACUUUAGUUUAGAAGCAAAAAAGCUUACUAAUAAUCAUAGGUAUGCUUUAAAGUUAAAAGUUAAUAAUAGGUCAUGAUACAGGUAGUCAAGUUGCAUAGACUAGUACUUAGUGAUUGAAGUGAAAAUGUAAAAGCUUAAUCAUGAUUGGCAAAGGUUACAGGAACAUAUUUUAAACAAUGUGUUCAAUAUCUUAUGAAGUUAAUAUAUGUCAGAAAAGAUUGCAACUCUUGAAAAUUAUGUAAAUGAAAAAAGUUUUGGGCUUUGAUGCUAUUCAUUAACUACAUGUAUAAACACCUGUAAAAAAGGUAUAAAAAUAAAGGCCUCUCUGGGACAUCAGAUCCUUCUGAAGGCUGCUUGUAACUUGAAACCUGUCAUGCUGUCUCCUCUUCUUUUCCUUCAGUACCCAAUGCCACUCCUACUUCAGGACCCCUGGAUUACUGCUAGGGCUGGAUCCUGGCAAUAAUAAUAAAAUUUUUCUUCAUUUAAAUUUGAAGUUGACUCUGUUGAUGGGCUGUAUUGAAUUAUAGAAAAAAUAUAUGUAGAAAUAAAUUCCUGUGAUUUGUGCUAAUAUUCUUAUAGUACCCCAUACCAAAGAAAAAACAGACAUCAUAAUUCUAUUAUUAUGCUCAUGGCAAAAUUGCACAUAAUUUAUUUUUAAUUCCUUAUACUCUAGGUUCUGGAAUACUGAGAGAUCUAGAGACCUGGCACCAUUCACCUCUUGUUUAUUUUAAAUGUUAAUACUAGAAACUUUAAAAUUUUAUUUGUCCCCCAUUUUUUUGUAGGGGAGUGGGGACAUUGCUUCCUCAGGGAAUUACAGAUGAGUUGAAGUCUCAAGCUGCUUUCUCAUAAGACCAGAGAACAAAAAUAUUAAAUAAAACUUUAAAAUAAUUGUGAUAUUUCAUUUUUUUAUAUAUAAAUGCACUUCUGUCUUGGCUAGAUCUACAUAUUGGGAGGAAACUCUGCCAUGAAAUAAUUUUAUCCUGAUGCACUUAAUGCAAUUCAUAGCAAAAAAGCCCAGGGCUCUGAAGCAUUCCUGUAAUACCACUUACUUGAAAAGACAUCCCAGGAAAAUUUGAGACCCUUCCCCAGGAUUCUAUCUAUGUUUCUCUCCUUCCAUUAAUCCAUUCAUCUGUGGUCAUGGGGCUCUGUAGUGAAUAAUACCCAUGGAUCUGAUCUCCAGUGUUUUAUUUUUUUUUCUACUAACAAUUGAACUCAGGAGCAUGUGACCACUGAGACCAUAUUUACAGUCCUAUUUGUAUUAUAUUUAAAUACAGUGUCUCACUGAGGUUCUUAGUGCCUUGCCAUUGGUGAGGUUGGCUGUGAACUCACUGUCCUCCUGACUCAGCCUCUCCAGUUGCUGGUAUUACAGGCAUGCAUCCCUGCAUGUGGUAGAUCCCCAGUCUUUGAUCAACAAAAACAGAGUGGCCAAAAACCUGUGUUUGUGUCCUUAUUUGAUUCUGAUAUGGAUGCAAUUUAUUGUCACUCAAACAGUAGGCCUACUAAAGCCAGAAUUAGACAGGCAAUCAGUGUAGAUAGGUAAAUCUAGUCAGGUUGAAUCUAAGAAGCCAAUUUUGAAUGAUUCUGGGAAGUUGGAGACUGUCCCCCAAGGAUAUUAUCAAGAACCUGCUCCUGCUCCAACCUAUUUCCCAAAUAACCUGUCCCAGGAAUUUCCCCUCCCUACAGGGAGCUAUUAGAUUGUUAAUGUGUCUCCUCCAUUCUGCCCUUCCCCCUUCAGCCCACCUAUUUCCCACCUUUAGGCCAUCCUACCAAGCCUUUCUGGGCCUAGACAGGUCCUCAGGAAGGAGAAAGGUAAGGGGGGAAAGGAAGGAGAACAAAGAAAGCCUAGGACAUAUAAAAAGUCAGAACAACUUUUUCUGGGGAUACCCUGAUACCAGCUAUGGUCCCCUUCUCCCUCAUGAGAGAAGUAUAUGUUACCCUUUUCUAAAUAAACCCUGCUUCAUAUGCUUGCCUCAGCAUGCUUCUCUAAUGUUCAAAGUUUAACAUGUGGGAAACUAAGACUUGUCACCAAUAACUAAGAGUAUCACUGCCAGGCUCAAUUUUGGAGGAAGUUCCUGAAGCCCUUUCCAAUCUGUCUCUUGGGUGAGAACUGUCCAAUCAAGAUACAGUCAGUGAUGAGGGUGGGCUUCCACAGUCUUCUGUUCCUUUUGUUUCUGGAGCCUGCCAUUCAUUGAAUCCAUUUCUAUGCUUCCAGGUUUCUGUGCUACACUGGAGCUGAAAAAAAAAUCCACGUGGGGAACACUAAGCAUUCUGAAAGCCAGGAAAUGUGAUUGCUGACACAGAAUACUUUCUCCCUUUCAUCUUUGAGUAGGACGACUGUGCAUCGUUGGGCACCAUUUGUCAUUUUCCUGAACUUCACCACCAGAUUCUUGGCAGCAACUACCUUUUCUUCUAUGCAUCAUCAUGUUUUGGGCAGUAGAAAUUCAAAUCCCUUGAUUGGUAAACUUAUUCAAUAUUAAUUAUAAUAAUAAAGGAGAACAAUAAGUAUUAUAUGUAAUGUACCACAUGACUAGUAGUUUUAAGUACUUUGCAUGUACAGACCAGUACUUCAACAAAACAAGUAGGAAGUUGAUGCUAAUUUAGUUCCUAUUCACAGAUGAAUAUGUAGGAAAGAGUGAUUAAGUAACCUCAUAAGGGUUGUGAAACUUCAAGCAUCCUCAGACUAAGCAGCCUGAGUUCAUAGGUCAGGAUCUCAAACAUGAUACUCUCCUACUACUCAAAAUUCUAUUUCCUGAGUAACUAUAUGUGUAACCAUAAAUUAGACAUAAUGAAUUAUAGGACAUAAAUGAUUCAUGGGUAAAUCAAUCCAUUUUAUAACAUCAGGCAAAAACCUAAUAAUGGCCAUGGAUCUUUUAUAUUUAAAAUUUAAGUUAGAGGUGACAAUGUAUUCAAAAUUCACUUUCAAACUUACAUGAUACAGCUUCUUAUUCCAUCUUUAAAAAUGUUAGUCCUCCUUGGGCAAUUAACUUGAGUUCCAAGUAAGAUUGCAUGUCAUUAUGUUUUUAUAAAAUAAGACAUGUCCCUGUGUUUCAAUCAACUUAUAUCUAAAAGAAAUACAUUAGCUAUAGAUUCUUAGAAACCUUCAAGAAGUUUUUAGUCACAUCAAUUUUGAAGGCAUUUCAAACUGAGUUGUCAAAUAUAGUGAAUAUACAAUAAAAUAUCUUGUAAUUUGAAAGUA